rnacentral:rRNA from 1 species
UACGUAGGGGGCAAGCGUUGUCCGGAAUCAUUGGGCGUAAAGCGCGCGUAGGCGGCCCGGUAAGUCCGCUGUAAAAGUCCAGGGCUCAACCCUGGAAAGCCGGUGGAUACUGUCGGGCUAGAGUCCGGAAGAGGCGAGUGGAAUUCUCGGUGUAGCAGUGAAAUGCGUAGAUAUCGAGGGGAACACCAGUGGCGAAGGCGAGUCUCUGGACGACUCCUGACACUGAGGCACGAAAGCCGGGGGAGCAAACAGG